rnacentral:misc_RNA from 1 species
GGAUAUUUUACCAUUCUCAAUAAAAGAUUAUUCAAUUCAUGAUACAAAGGCUCUUAGGGGGCUUGUAUUUGUUACAUAAUUACAAUUAUUUUACUUUACGUAGAUAGUACAAUCACGUGGUAAUUGAAGAUGCACAUGAGUGUCCAGAACACAAAAUAAGAAAAAAUGUACAGCAUGCAAGCCUUUCACCAAAGAAAGAAAAUAAAAAUGGACAAAAGAAGCAGCAGCAUCUAUAUAUAUAUAUACACAGCUCAUUUAUCCUUUCUGCAGCUUCCGUAGGUGCUCAAACUCUUUUAGUUGUGUCUUUAGAAGUGUAUGCUCCUGCUGCAUUUUGCCAAGCAGUGUUUCGACCAUAAACAUCUCAUCUUUUAGAUGAUUAAUCUUUUUAUCCAGAAAACCUAAUAUAUCAACACCCGUCUCUCCUAGUCGAUACAUGCUACUUGCAGAGUCCCCUUGAGAUAUCACUUGGACGUGCUGUGGUCUGCCUAAUAACACGAGUAUGCUCAUCUGCAUUAGAAUCAGUAUCACAGCAAUGGUGAUCACUAUAAGAAUGGAAACAUGGCUCUGAGAUUUCAAGGACGCUGAACACUUGAGCAUGAAGUCUCUACAGGAGGAAGUUAAGGACACAGUACUGCUAUCUGCAGCUUGCUGGUUGAGCGGCGGUAUUUGUGACCUGAUUUCCUUACUUGUCUCAACUAUGUUCUCUACAUGUUCAUAACUUUCUUUUGGCUGAGCACUUGUUACAACAUUAGCAGCUAGACAAUCAGCUUUUUCCUUCUCUAACUUCUUUUGCUUCAACAGUUCACGCGCAAGGGCAAUCCAUUUGACAUACAAGGCUCGACAUUCAUCAAUUGUAGACUGCACUAUCUUCCCUCUAAAUAUAGUUUUCUUUGUAAAUACCAGAUUUAGGUACACCUUCAUAAUGCAGC